CUUUGUGUAAUCUUUGGUGGAGAAGCUUUGAUUGUCUUGGUGUCACUACCUUCUCGGUCAGCCCUCUUCCUCUGUUCCCCCGGGUCUUUUGGAUUACCCGCCUUCUGGAGCGCGCAUGUGGAUUUACGUGGACUCGUGUUGGACUGCCUGCCUGCCUCACCUCCGUUGCGUCUGAGGAGGACGCUCGGCGAGUUACUUUGACAAAGUCCUUGAAAAUCAGCCCUACAUGACGGCACCUGGGCCGGCUCUGACUCCGUCAACCCGAAGGUCUCUCCUGUAAAAGAGAUUUUUGAUCGCAAUGGGACUUCCUCGUAAAAAAGAGCUCUACCACCCUCCUCCCCGUCUCUGCUAGGCCUACAGUAGCAUCCUUCCUCACAGCACUGGGACUCCAAGACCAGGGAAGACGCAGCAGAAGUGUGAUACCAACAGCAAAGGGCCGUGAAGACCAGGAUCCACAUCUUCUUCACCAAAGAGGGAACCUGUUCUGCAGAACGUGUCGUGGUCGAACGUCAGAAACUCACGGAGGACGUCAGACGCUGAGACACAGGCGUCCCGCUCAGCUGCAGGACAGAAUCGAGCUUCCUGCACCCUCAGGAGGAUGGGAAAGGUAAGAGAAGCCGGUGACUCACGCUCUUCAGAGCGCAGGACUAACACUGCCCGGGGCCAUCAGGUGGAGAGAUCUUCAGUGAUUUAAUCCUCUGUGGAUCUGACAUGGCUGGAUCUGGAGGUGUGGGAGCUGCAGGGGGAGUUAUUAAUGAUACCUCUGAGAAUAUUUUGGCUGCAGCUUCAGGAGGCUCAUCUAGCUACUCAGCAUGGAGAGCUAUUCGGAGGAGGAGUGAGCACAAAUCCAUCAAAAGGGCAAACUCCUGAACACCCAGCAUUAAUUUAGGCCGACUGUCCCCAGCAGACAGACGACACCUCCGGUCCGAGGGCAGAGGUUUGCUUUCACACAGCCUGCAGUCUGCAGGUCAUCACAGAGGGACGCUUGCUCAGGACCCCUGGGCAUCAGUUUUUAACGCACUGGGAAUUCAUUUAGCGUCAUUGUUCAAUGCUAAAAUCAGGCCUGGUGUCAAUCACAGAAAAGGAGGUGGUUGGGCCAGAAACUGGACUUUCACCCAGGAGACGGUGUGUGAAACAAAAAGUAACGUAGUUAUUUUAACCCAAAAAUGAACUCAGAUCUGAACUGCUCUCCGUCUGUAGUAAAACGACUGAAAACAUCACGUGACCGUUCACGUACACUGAGCAUGUGCGGUGUAAACAGGAAGCAGAUUGUCUGCUCCGCAGCUGCAGAAGAAAGUUCUACUGGAGACGAACGCAGAGCAGCGACGGUGAAGAACCACAGCAGAGAUUUCUCUGCACGGAGCGACAGCGAGGUGGAACUGAGAGGAACACGGGAGGACGGAGAGACGGCGGCGGGAAACAGACUGCGAGUCGACGCAAAGCAAAUACGGAAACCUGCACAGGACAAGUGUAGAAGUGUUAUUGACACAGUACAGUGUGUUUGAAUAAAACUCUGUCAGCAGCAUCGUGUUUCUGCUUUGACUGACUGACGGAGCGUCACCGUUUCCACCUGGAGUUUAAAACCAAAACAAGAUCAGCAAACCAAAACGUAGCCGUGUGGAUGGAGCAACGUUACAAUUAUAGCCCGCUAACUCUUAACGAAGCACUUGUUCAAACCUAACCAAACCUUCAGCAUAGCGUCAUAAAAGUGAGUGUGAGCGCCGUGGAAGGUGGAGACAAACGGUGUUACCCAGGAGACAUUAGGUUUCUCUCAAGCUCAUCUGCUGUUGUAAAAAACAGAUUUUUAAUAGUAACUAGAAACUAACUGUAAAAUCUGCAGAGGUACCAGAAGAAACAGUUGCACGAGCUUCCAAAAUUAUUUGUGCAAAAAUCAUUAAUACAUGAGGUCCAAACUUGAGGGUGGGCGGUGAAAUGAACAGACGCAGAAUAUCAGCUGAUCUGGUAAAGAAAUGAAAGUGAGUUAACGCAGAGAGGGAGAAGCAGGUGUGUCGACGACCUGCAGG